rnacentral:rRNA from 1 species
GACGAACGCUGGCGGCGUGCUUAACACAUGCAAGUCGAACGGAAAGGCCCUUCGGGGUACUCGAGUGGCGAACGGGUGAGUAACACGUGGGUGAUCUGCCCUGCACUUUGGGAUAAGCCUGGGAAACUGGGUCUAAUACCGAAUAGGACCACGCGCUUCAUGGUGUGUGGUGGAAAGCUUUUGCGGUGUGGGAUGGGCCCGCGGCCUAUCAGCUUGUCGGUGGGGUAAUGGCCUACCAAGGCGACGACGGGUAGCCGGCCUGAGAGGGUGACCGGCCACACUGGGACUGAGAUACGGCCCAGACUCCUACGGGAGGCAGCAGUGGGGAAUAUUGCACAAUGGGCGCAAGCCUGAUGCAGCGACGCCGCGUGAGGGAUGACGGCCUUCGGGUUGUAAACCUCUUUCAAUAGGGACGAAGCGCAAGUGACGGUACCUAUAGAAGAAGCACCGGCCAACUACGUG